UACGGGGGGGGCAAGCGUUGUUCGGAAUUACUGGGCGUAAAGAGCGUGUAGGCGGCCUGGAAGGUCAGCUGUGAAAACUCGAGGCUCAACCUCGAGACGUCGGUUGAAACCACCUGGCUAGAGUCCGGAAGAGGAGAGUGGAAUUCCCGGUGUAGCGGUGAAAUGCGCAGAUAUCGGGAAGAACACCCGUGGCGAAGGCGGCUCUCUGGGACGGUACUGACGCUGAGACGCGAAAGCGUGGGGAGCGAACAGG
rnacentral:rRNA from 1 species